AUUGAACGCUGGCGGCAUGCCUUACACAUGCAAGUCGAACGGCAGCACGGGGCAACCUGGUGGCGAGUGGCGAACGGGUGAGUAAUGCAUCGGAACGUACCUUUCAGUGGGGAUAACGUAGCGAAAGUUACGCUAAUACCGCAUAUUCUGUGAGCAGAGAAGCAGGGGAUCGCAAGACCUUGCGCUGAUUGAGCGGCCGAUGUCAGAUUAGCUAGUUGGUGAGGUAAAGGCUCACCAAGGCGACGAUCUGUAGCGGGUCUGAGAGGAUGAUCCGCCACACUGGAACUGAGACACGGUCCAGACUCCUACGGGAGGCAGCAGUGGGGAAUUUUGGACAAUGGGGGCAACCCUGAUCCAGCCAUGCCGCGUGAGUGAAGAAGGCCUUCGGGUUGUAAAGCUCUUUCGGCCGGGAAGAAAUCGCACGGGCUAAUACCCUGUGUGGAUGACGGUACCGGAAUAAGAAGCACCGGCUAACUACGUGCCAGCAGCCGCAGUAAUAC
rnacentral:rRNA from 1 species